GAAAGAAAAAGAAAGGUUAUUCAAAGCAACCUAAGAAAUGGUAAAAAGAAAGAAAAGGACAAGAAGGAAACAGGAUAUGAAAGAAACGAUAAGAUAAAAUAAAAUGAGAUAUGUAUGAAAAAGCAUAAGAAAUGAAAAGGAAAGAAAAGAAAUAAAGUAAAUACAAGAAAAAUCAAGGUUACAUAGGAAACAAAGAAAAAGAAGAAAGAUAAGGAAAUAUUAAAAAGGUAAUUUAAGCUAAAGAAGCAAUGCAUAAGGAGACAUUAGAAAGAAAGGGGAAAGGAAAGAAAAGAAAGGGUAAUUAAAAGGAAAAGGGAGACUAAAGAAAGAAAAGGUAGGUAAAUAGGAAUCACGGAAAGUUAAAGAAGCAUAGAAUGAAAGUAAAAGAGUAUAUAAGUAAGUAAUUAGACGGUUAGCUAAUACUAAAAUAGAAAACAAAAACAAGGAACGUGAAAGUGAAAUAUAAGGUCAGCUAACAUAUUUUCCCCCUCUAGGGACCUUCUUUUGUUUUGCACUGUUGAAGCUUGUCAACUACUGUGGUAGUCAAUGACAGCCACUUGUUCUGCUGAUUCAGAACGGUUAAGAACUUUAUUAUUAUUAUAAAGGCUGGAGAUAAGUCAGUGGUUGACAUGUUGGUGUCCAAAAUCUCAAAUUGGAAGAAGAUGAAAAGAGUGAUGGCUUGGGUUUUGAUUGCUAAACAGAAGUUCUUGACCAAGAUUCGACCGAAAGCAGGGGUUGUUACCGGCAGAAGUUGCGUUGUAAAAGAUCCUGGGCAACUGACAGUAGAGUUAUUAAACUGAGCCGAGGAUUUUAUUUUGACGGAAGUGCAAUCUAAUGCCUUUGAAAGAGAGAUUAAGGAGCUUGAGGCUGGAAAUAAUGUGAGCAAGACCAGAUAGGUGAGGGUGGAUUGGCAAGAGUUGGAGGAAGAAAAAGCAAGGCAGACGUAGCGUAUGAGGCAAAGCAUCCUGUGUUCCUUCCCAAGAAUUCAAGUGUGGCAGAGAUGAUCGUGAGAGAGAUUCAUAAAGAUGUUGGUCAUCUCGGGAAGAAUACCAUUCUGGCAAGACUCAGAGAGCGGUACUGGCUCUUUGGAGCGAAUGGGAUAGCAAAGAAGGUCGCCAGAGAAUGUGUAACACGCAAGCGUUACCAGGUUAAGCCAUGUGAACAAGUGAUGGCAGAUUUGCCUUCUAAUAGAGUCCAGGCAGAUGGAGCACCUUUUGAACAUGUUGGCGUGGACUAUUUUGGUCCGUUGAUGGUAAAGAGAGGCAGAUCAGAGGUCAAACGAUACGGAGUAAUUUUUACCUGCCUGUAGUCUCGAGCCGUCCAUCUUGAGGUAGCGCAUAGCCUGGACACUGAUUCAUGCAUUAAUUCAAUCAGAAGAUUUAUGGCAAGAAGAGGACCUGUGUUAACCAUUUCAUCCGACAAUGAAACCAAUCUGGUUGGCGCGGAGAAGGAAUUGAGAGAGAUGUGGAAGAAGAUUGAUCAAGCCAAGAUGAAGGGUGUACUCAAUAAUGUUGGGAUUGACUGGAUCUUAAACCCACCAACAGCAUCCCAUUUUGGUGGAGUGUGGGAGAGGAUGAUUAGGUCAACUAGGAAGAUCAUAUACAGAUGAAGCACGUUUACUUGAUGAUGAGGCGCUAGUAAACUUCUUUUGCGAAGCGGAGGGUAUACUCAACAGUCGACCUUUGACAACGACAUCUACGGAUCCAGGGGAUAUGUUGCCUUUAACUCCCAAUAUGCUGAUAAACCCCAGAGGAAGAGUUCUCCAUUCACUAGGGGUUUUUCUCCUAGAAACCAUUGGGUGAUGGCUGUCGUAGAGACAGUAUUCCAAGAUAAGAAAGGAGAUCGAUCGUGUAUGGUGAGACGCAAUCAGCGCUACUGGAGAGACCGGUGUCUAAACUGUGUAUUCUGGUGGAAAACAAUUAGGACUCAGCAUUUGAAGUGAAUUUGUCAUAUGUUGUUUUAUUGCUUAGUUUCGAAAUUGGGGGUGGGAGUGUUAAUGCCAAGUUCACUUCCUAAUAUUAUUUACGUCUGUCGCCCUCUCUAGUUUAGCCGUGUAAGAAAGUUUUACACAAUAUGGCUGUUAAACGUCAGGCUAUACUUUGAUGUUUUAAAUAACAAGUAUUAUUGUGCUUCAGAAGGUGUUUCUCGAUAUGCUUAGAGAUAUAAUAAUCGUCACUUGUAUCAGUGUCAACCGUCACAGAUGUGUGGUUGCGCUUAAACCUGAACUAAGGAUAAGAGUAUACGUUGAUAUUCUGUCAUCAGUUCCGAGGUUUUUAAGAUGCAUUAAAC